AUUGAACGCUGGCGGCAUGCCUUACACAUGCAAGUCGAACGGCAGCACGGGGCAACCUGGUGGCGAGUGGCGAACGGGUGAGUAAUGUAUCGUAACGUGCCAUUGAGUGGGGGAUAACGUAGCGAAAGUUACGCUAAUACCGCAUAUACCCUGAGGGUGAAAGCAGGGGAUCGCAAGACCUUGUGCUCUUCUAGCGGCGGAUAUCAGAUUAGCUAGUGGGUGAGGUAAAGGCUCACCAAGGCGACGAUCUGUAGCGGGUCUGAGAGGAUGAUCCGCCACACUGGGACUGAGACACGGCCCAGACUCCUACGGGAGGCAGCAGCGGGGAAUUUUGGACAAUGGGCGCAAGCCUGAUCCAGCCAUGCCGCGUGAGUGAAGAAGGCCUUCGGGUUGUAAAGCUCUUUCGGCCGGGAAGAAAUCGUACAGGUUAAUACCCUGUGUGGAUGACGGUACCGGAAUAAGAAGCACCGGCUAACUACGUGCCAGCCGCCGCGGUAA
rnacentral:rRNA from 1 species